GCAACUCGCCUGCAUGAAGUCGGAAUUGCUAGUAAUCGUGGAUCAGCAUGCCACGGUGAAUACGUUCCCGGGCCUUGUACACACCGCCCGUCACACCAUGGGAGUCGGUAACACCCGAAGCCUGUAGUCUAACCGCAAGGAGGACGCAGUCGAAGGUGGGAUUGAUGACUGGGGUGAAGUCGUAACAAGGUAAC
rnacentral:rRNA from 1 species